CGUGAGCCAUCGUGCCUGAAAUCGUUUCUGGAGACGGUGGCCACCAAAAUUAAAAAAUGACCACAUCACCAGCUCCAUCUCAAUCACCUGAUCAUGAAUCCACCCUUGAUUUUACCUAAUUCUUACCCUAACACCAAAACCGAAUCUAAAGCUCAAAGAACCCUAAAAGUUCAAUCCUAAGUUAAAUCUUACACGUGAGGAUUCAAAGCCCUCGGGGUUGGGGCUUUGAACCUCCUCUUUGUCCUCUACAUCUCAGUAACUGGAAAUGAAGAAAUGGAAGAUCUUGGAACUCACCAUGGACGGAGGAGGAUGAAGAUGAUGACAAACACCGGUGAACUCCUAUUUUUAGGGUCAAUUUGUAACAUUGUUUAUGUGUUGUUCUGAACUUGGUCAUGGUGUGCUAUUAUGUUUUGCAGAAUGGCUUGGUGGAUUACAAGCUUGUGGCUUCACUGACUUGUAGAUGCAUAUUGGUUUGCCUUUUGCAACAUGGAUCCAAUGGACUGCAUUGUGUAGGUCUUGUUUGGUGUGCUACAAUUGUUUUGUAUUCAUGCCUUGCAGGUAGGUUCUGACUUGGACUUGUAUUAUGGUGGCUUAGUUUCAAAGCAUGUUGAUGUGCAAGUAUGAUGCAUGGUUCUGGCUUAUGGUUUCACUGCAUUUUCAUUGUUUUGGAUUUGGUUCGCAACAUUGUUCACUUGGUAGCUAGUUUGUGUUCUACAGUAGGCAUUGUGUUAUAUAGAACUGUGCAUUUGGUUUCACUUUGGAUUGUUUUCUGCAGUCCUUGUUUGGUAUGCAUUUUGCAGGGUCUUUUUGGCUUGUACAUGAUAAUGCUUCCUUAUUCAGGUCCUUGGUUUUGCUUCUUGCAGCAUAUGUAUCAUAUGGCUCAUGUAUCAUAUGUAUGUCAUGGUUCCAUGGAGGCUUAUGGCAUGCUGGUUGGACAAUGCAAAUGACAUUAAGGUUGGAAUUUGAAGCAACAUGUACAAUUGGUCAAUCAAAGGUCAACAUGGAACAUGGAAAUUUAGGGUUAGAAUUAGG